UACGUAGGGAGCAAGCGUUAUCCGGAUUUAUUGGGCGUAAAGGGUGCGUAGGCGGUUUGUUAAGUAUGAAAUUUAAGCCCGAGGCUCAACCUCGGUUCGUUUCAUAAACUGGCAGACUUGAGUAUGGCAGAGGUAAACGGAAUUUCUAGUGUAGCGGUUAAAUGCGUAGAUAUUAGAAGGAACACCGGUGGCGAAGGCGGUUUACUGGGCCAUAACUGACGCUGAGGCACGAAAGCGUGGGGAGC
rnacentral:rRNA from 1 species